AAACUUAAAGGAAUUGACGGGGCCGCACAAGCGGUGGAGCAUGUGGUUAAUUCGAAGCAACGCGAAGAACCUUACCAGGUCUUGACAUCCCGAUGCUAUUUCUAGAGAUAGAAAGUUACUUCGGUACAUCGGUGACAGGUGGUGCAUGGUUGUCGUCAGCUCGUGUCGUGAGAUGUUGGGUUAAGUCCCGCAACGAGCGCAACCCCUAUCUUUAGUUGCCAUCAUUGAGUUGGGCACUCUAAAGAGACUGCCGGUGUCAAACCGGAGGAAGGUGGGGAUGACGUCAAGUCCUCAUGGCCUUUAUGACCAGGGCUACACACGUACUACAAUGGCCGGUACAAAGGGCAGCGACACAGCGAUGUGAAGCGAAUCCCGAAAAGCCGGUCUCAGUCCGGAUUGGAGUCUGCAACUCGACUCCAUGAAGUUGGAAUCGCUAGUAAUCGCGGAUCAGCACGCCGCGGUGAAUACGUUCCCGGGCCUU
rnacentral:rRNA from 1 species